CCUACGGGUGGCAGCAGUGGGGAAUAUUGGGCAAUGGGCGCAAGCCUGACCCAGCAACGCCGCGUGAAGGAAGAAGGCCCUCGGGUUGUAAACUUCUUUUGUCAGGGACGAAGCAAGUGACGGUACCUGACGAAUAAGCCACGGCUAACUACGUGCCAGCAGCCGCGGUAAGACGCGGGUGGCAAGCGGUAUCCGGAUUUCCCGGGGGUAAAGGGCGUGUAGGCGGGGAAGCAAGUCAGAUGCGAAAUUCCAGGGCUCAACCCCGGAACUGCAUUUGAAACGGUUUUUCGUGAGCGAUGGGGAGGCAGGCGGAAUGCGGUGGGUAGCGGUGAAAUGCGUAGGUAUACGGAGGAA
rnacentral:rRNA from 1 species